rnacentral:rRNA from 1 species
GACGAACGCUGGCGGCGUGCUUAACACAUGCAAGUCGAACGGAAAGGCCCUGCUUUUGUGGGGUGCUCGAGUGGCGAACGGGUGAGUAACACGUGAGUAACCUGCCCUUGACUUUGGGAUAACUUCAGGAAACUGGGGCUAAUACCGGCUAGGAGCUCCUGCUGCAUGGUGGGGGUUGGAAAGUUUCGGCGGUUGGGGAUGGACUCGCGGCUUAUCAGCUUGUUGGUGGGGUAGUGGCUUACCAAGGCUUUGACGGGUAGCCGGCCUGAGAGGGUGACCGGCCACAUGGGGACUGAGAGACGGACCAGACUCCUACGGGAGGCAGCAGUGGGGAAUAUUGCACAAUGGGCGGAAGCCUGAUGCAGCAACGCCGCGUGCGGGAUGACGGCCUUCGGGUUGUAAACCGCUUUCGCCUGUGACGAAGCGUGAGUGACGGUAAUGGGUAAAGAAGCACCGGCUAACUACGUG